rnacentral:rRNA from 1 species
GAUGAACGCUAGCGGGAGGCUUAACACAUGCAAGUCGAGGGGCAGCAUAGGGUAGCAAUACUCUGAUGGCGACCGGCAAACGGGUGAGUAACGCGUAUGCAACCUACCCUGUACAGGGGGAUAACCCGGAGAAAUUCGGACUAAUAUCCCGUAAUAAUAUCCGGAGGCAUCUUUGGAUAUUUAAAGUUCCGACGGUACGGGAUGGGCAUGCGUAACAUUAGCUGGUUGGUAAGGUAACGGCUUACCAAGGCUAUGAUGUUUAGGGGUCCUGAGAGGGUGGUCCCCCACACUGGUACUGAGACACGGACCAGACUCCUACGGGAGGCAGCAGUGAGGAAUAUUGGUCAAUGGGCGCAAGCCUGAACCAGCCAUCCCGCGUGCAGGAAGACGGCCCUAUGGGUUGUAAACUGCUUUUCCAGGGAGAGAAACUUACGCACGUGUUGCGUGACUGACGGUACCCUGGGAAUAAGCAUCGGCUAACUCCGUGCCAGCAGCCGCGGUAAAGUCACGUCG